rnacentral:lncRNA from 1 species
GUAAAGGAAAAGCUGCACCAAUUGUAGCAGGUGGAUAAAAAUCAAGCUUUAUCUCCAAGAGAAAAAAACAAGAUUAGAAGAGAAGUGAUUCUUUUUUUCCCACUCCUUUUUUUCUGUGUAGUGGUGUUGGGGAUUGAACCCAGGGCUUUUCACAUACAAAGCAAGUGCCUUACCCCUGAGCUACAUCCCCAGCCCAUUUCUUAACUUCUAACCUAACACAAGACUGUUAUACCUCUACUUAUAGCAGUUUUCCAACCUGAGCACUGUUGACAUUUUUGGGCUGGAUAAAACUUUAUUGUGGGGGCUCUCCUGCAUGGUGUUGGGUGGUUAGCAGCAUCCCUGGCCACUAUCCACUGGAUUCCAGUAGCACAUCUUCCCCCUCAUUUAUGACAACCAAAAUGGUCUACAGACAUUGCCAAAUUUGCCCAGAGUAUGUGUGUGCAAAAUCACCUCCUGCUGAGAACCACUGACCUGGGCUACUCUCAUCCCCUAGAAGGUCCUCCUCCUUCCUUCAUCUCUGCCCUGUCAGACUCCUACUCAUCCCUCAAGACCAGUGCUGAAAAGUCUUUCCCAAUCCUCCAAGAUGGGUUAAUUUCACUCUGCUGCCAGGAUACAUGGAUACUUGGUGAUAACUUAGAAUUUAUCAUGUUUCAUUGUUCUCUGCAUGCCUGCUUCAUCAGCCUAUGCCAUGCUCAAAGAAAGUCAUGUUGUCCUGAGGUAGAUCCAGGUUUUCUUUGAAACUCUGAAACUUAGUACAUUGAAACUCAGUAUGGUUGGGAACUACCAUCUUUAAGAAAAAGAAUAUAAAUUAUGAAUGCAAAAAUAGAUACAGGGCUUUGGAAGGGGAAGGUACCAGUGAAUGUCUGAGAAGCAUAUCUCUGCUCUGUGUCCUCUGUCACGCUAAGAAUUUGGCAUCCUUCUGCUCAAAACAGCUUGAAAUAAGUUAACUAAGCAGUCAGAUAUUGACUGUACUUCAGCUGUGGAAUUCUUACCUUUUUUUUAAAAAAUGCAACCUUUUCAAAAAUACUUAUUUUAAUUCACUUAACUGUUGGGAGGCAGGCAGUGAAUAACGGAAUUAGUGGAAAAGCAGUGACCACAUGCACACAUGCUACCACAGCACCCCUGUAUUUAUUUUCUAUGGCUGUUUGGUCAUCUGGAAGAUUCAGUGGGACAAAAGAUUUCUCUUGCUUGCCAGGGGAAAAAUGAGAUACCUUGGGUGGUCUUCAAGCAAAUGUAAACCAGCAAUUGGUCUAGAGCACUAGUUAGAAGUAGCCCUAGUUAGAUUUAUAGGAGAGGUGAAUGGCACACUAAAGCUUUUUGGCUUCCACGUGAAAUUCUUUGGCAACUUCUUUUGGAGGCUUUUGGAAAAGGACAGUUUGCUCUGUGCCUGUUUUGCACAUUGGCUUCAUAUUGGGACAAAAAUGGGAAUUUGGGGUUUGGAGCUGCCAUUUGGAGUGAAUCACCCUGCCGCCUUGUUUCCUUUCCUACUCUGUGACAGAUUUCCAAGACUAUUUUUAUUCAGGGUCAUUUCUUGACCCUAGAGACUUUUGCUGAAUUUAGCUUCCAAAUAGAGCCAGAUGCGGGUGGAAUCAAGCACUUAGAAGCUGUUACUGGUUUGUUUCAUUACAGGUUCGGAAGGGAUCAACUUUUACAUGAAAGAGACAAGAUUUGGCUUUUUGCCGAACUUUGAGAUAGAAAUGGCAAAUCUGGUAUAG